rnacentral:sRNA from 1 species
CCCAUGCGGGGAAGGAUGAGAAGCUUCGACUAAGGUUCGACUUGAGCGCCAGCGAGAGAGCGUUGCCGCAGGCAACGACCCGAAGGGCGAAGCGCGCAGCGCUGAGUAAUCCUUCCCCCACCACCA